NNCGACCUGAGAUCAGGCGGGACCACCCGCUGAAUUUAAGCAUAUUACUAAGCGGANGAAAAGAAACUAACNAGGAUUCCCCCAGUAACGGCNAGUGAAGAGGGAAGAGCCCAGCGCCGAAUCGGCGGUGAUCUGAGCGGGCAGCGCGAAAUGUGGCGUUUGCGACGUCCGAUGCBANAGUKACUGGCGUCCGAGUCCUCCUGAUCGGGCCUNNCCCAGAGCGGGUGUCAGGCCUCUACGGCGCCGGUUCUUCGUCGCCCGUCGGKCGUUGCCGGAGUCGGGUUGUUUGGGAAGBCAGCCCAAAGUGGGUGGUAAACUCCAUCKAAGGCUAAAUVCAGUCACGAGACCGAUAG
rnacentral:rRNA from 1 species